AGGGGUCUUGAAAUGAGAUAGCCUUCACCUUAUCCUUUCUUUGCGAAGUUUUCCGACCCGCCCGCCAGGAGUCGUAAUGAAAAGAAAUCUGUAAAAGCUGUGAUUUUCAAAAUUUUUGAGAAUUCGUUUAAAUCUCCUAGCAACGGCAGUGUUUAUCAUUUGACACAUUUCCUGUGUUGUAUUCGCGUGAUUUAUGCGUGAUUUCAUAGUGGGAUAGUGAUUCUCAAAGUUUUCUUAAUUUAUGUGUUUACAUUGUACAUUGUAGAGUGUAAUUGCCAAAUGUAAGUAUAUAACUUUGCCUUGACUAGAUUAUUAUACCCAAUUUUUGUAGAACAAAAAUGCAAGACAACAACAUGUUACGGAUAUACGACGAGAGUUAAGCCGAUCUUUGGGUUCCACGUCCAAAUCGGUUUAUGGCGCAAAUAAUAAAGCUGCGAAUAACCAAAAACUGGUGGUUUUAAACAACAACCAAAUUUAUAGCAGGGGGUACACUGGCUUCCAUCAUUUUCGACCAGACAACGACUACAUACCAGAACGCAAAAGCCGCAUAGAUUUGCAGUACCAGCUAUUUUGCCUUUCCACGCUGAUAGUGAACUUGCUACAGCAUCACUCGAAGCCAACCACAUUGAUGUGGCAAUCACAAGAACGCCUUUCGCUCCGCUAAGAAGUUUCUAGGAGAUCAACGUUUGGUUGGUAUCGUGAAAGGAUUGGCUUCUUUUCAGCGAGAAUUUUUUGAAAACUAGAUUAGAAACGUAAAUCGAAAAGCAGGAGUUUUACAUUUGAGGUGAAAGCAGAUGCCAUUGCCAUUUGGAAGUAUGGUUCAACAUCGUAUAAACUUCUGCCAAGAAUGUUUAUGUUGCUAUCUAUUAACACUUUGAGGGCAACCCUAAAUAAAGUUCCAAUAGAACCGGGUAUCAUCAACUUAUAUUCGAAGUUCUCAGAAAGCAACCUCAUCUGGACCACUUGCCUUGUGAGGACAGUUGUGGUUUUUGAAGAUGACGGUUCAACAAGGACGGAAAAAAUUGCAGACCAUAUUUGCGUACUCAGAGGAAUUUUCGGAAGGUAGAAGCAACCUGUUGUUUUUGCUUUUUGUAAAAAUUCCAUGCCUGGCGUAAACUCUGCCCAUUUUUUGAUAAAACGGUUAUGAAAGGGGCGAUUGAUUUUGAUUUUCGGGAGUGUUUUGCAUAUCGAAGAACUAAAAACUCAACUUUUUCAUUUAUUUUUAAGAGAGUCUAUCUUUAGAUCUAUGAAAAAAGUCAGCAAUGUAGUAAUUGGUAAGGAAGACCCAAACAAAUCAAUUCCAUUGGAAACAGAAAUGCAACAGUUAUAUUUACGUUUUACAGAAAGAAAGUAGAACGUUUGUAUAAUUUUGGAUUUUGCAGGUUAUUCAUCAGCUUUGUUUUGUUCACACCAUAACAAAGUACUGGGAAACAUAU